rnacentral:rRNA from 1 species
AUUGAACGCUGGCGGCAGGCCUAACACAUGCAAGUCGAGCGGAUGACGGGAGCUUGCUCCUUGAUUCAGCGGCGGACGGGUGAGUAAUGCCUAGGAAUCUGCCUGGUAGUGGGGGACAACGUUUCGAAAGGAACGCUAAUACCGCAUACGUCCUACGGGAGAAAGCAGGGGACCUUCGGGCCUUGCGCUAUCAGAUGAGCCUAGGUCGGAUUAGCUAGUUGGUGGGGUAAUGGCUCACCAAGGCGACGAUCCGUAACUGGUCUGAGAGGAUGAUCAGUCACACUGGAACUGAGACACGGUCCAGACUCCUACGGGAGGCAGCAGUGGGGAAUAUUGGACAAUGGGCGAAAGCCUGAUCCAGCCAUGCCGCGUGUGUGAAGGAGGUCUUCGGAUUGUAAAGCACUUUAAGUUGGGGGGAAGGGCAGUAAGUUAAUACCUUGCUGUUUUGACGUUACCGACAGAAUAAGCACCGGCUAACUCUGUGCCAGCCGCCGCAGUAAUAC